CUUUAAAUGUUGUAUAAUUUAAUUAUAAAAAAAUAAUCUCGAAUCAAGUAACCCUUUUAAAUAUUGUAUAGUUUAAUUACAAAAAUAAUCUCGAAUAGAGUAAUCUUUUUACCUGCUAAAUAUUAAAAUUACAUCUUUAUACUCUAUUAAUCAACGGUUAAAUUUUUUUUUUUUAUUUUUUUAAAAAAUAAAGUACCGAAUCAUUUCUCGUGUUGAUUGCAAAAGAAAAAGCAACAGUU
rnacentral:lncRNA from 1 species